rnacentral:ncRNA from 1 species
AAGUCAUUUUGGCAAACUCCGCGAAAGUGGGGGACGCAAAGCAUGGGUCCUGGAUACGCCGCGGGAAAGGCAGGGAUCGCCAGGUUGCAGCA